UACGUAGGGGCCGAGCGUUGUCCGGAGUUACUGGGCGUAAAGCGCGCGCAGGCGGCUCGCUUUGCCCGGCGUGAAAGCCCACGGCUCAACCGUGGAGGGUCAUUGGAAACUGGGGAACUUGAGUGCAGAAGAGGAAAGUGGAAUUCCAAGUGUAGCGGUGAAAUGCGUAGAGAUUUGGAGGAACACCAGUGGCGAAGGCGACUUUCUGGUCUGUAACUGACACUGAGGCGCGAAAGCGUGGGGAGCGAACAGG
rnacentral:rRNA from 1 species